rnacentral:lncRNA from 1 species
AUGAUCAGGCCCAAUAUAAAAAUGGAGAGAGCUUGUUUUAUUUCAUGUUUUAUUCAACGAUAAUAAAAUCUUUUUUUUUUUUUAUUAUAGGGUAAAUCUUUUGCAUUUAUUAUUAAUCGAUUGUGCCCAAAACCCAAAUAUACAGCUGUGUUUUUCUUUCAACGUAAUUAAUAUUCUGAAUUUAUUAUUUUGAGCUAAUACAGCUAUGUUUGAAUAUUCCCUUUUUCUUGAUUUUUAUAAUUGGUUUGAUUUGAUUAAAUGGUAUUUUGUAUUUGGAAAUAAAGCAAUAGAUUGUUUAUGAGGCUUACAUAGAGUGUAGUAUAUCUAUAUCGUUUGCUUGCAAAUUAAUAGCCUCGGAUUAUCUAUUUAUGAGUGUUUGCACAAUCCAUUCAAGUGCAGCAAUUAAUUAAGGAAAC